rnacentral:rRNA from 1 species
UACGUAGGGGGCUAGCGUUGUCCGGAAUCAUUGGGCGUAAAGAGCGUGUAGGCGGCCCGGUAAGUCCGCUGUGAAAGUCGGGGGCUCAACCCUCGAAUGCCGGUGGAUACUGUCGGGCUAGAGUGCGGAAGAGGCGAGUGGAAUUCCUGGUGUAGCGGUGAAAUGCGCAGAUAUCAGGAGGAACACCAGUGGCGAAGGCGGCUCACUGGCCCGAUACUGACGCUGGAGGCACGAAAGCGUGGGGAGCAAACAGG